rnacentral:rRNA from 1 species
UAGGGAAUAUUAGUAAUCUGGGCAACCGGGAACUAGCAACGCCGCGUGUGCGAUGAAGGCCUUCGGGUUGUAAAGCACUUUUUAAGGGAAUGAGAAAGGACAGUACCCUUAGAAUAAGUCUCGGCUAACUACGUGCCAGCAGCCGCGGUAAGACGUAGGAGACGAGCGUUAUUCGGAUUUACUGGGCGUAAAGCGCGUGCAGGCGGUUUGGUAAGUUGGAUGUGAAAGCUCUCGGCUCAACCGGGAGAGGUCGUUCAAAACUGCCAGACUAGAGAAUAGGAGAGGGAGGUGGAAUUCCGGGUGUAGUGGUGAAAUGCGUAGAUAUCCGGAGGAACACCAGUGGCGAAGGCGACCUCCUGGCCUAUUUCUGACGCUCAGACGCGAAAGCUAGGGU